rnacentral:rRNA from 1 species
GACGAACGCUGGCGGCGUGCUUAACACAUGCAAGUCGAGCGGUAAGGCCCUUUCGGGGGUACGACGAGCGGCGAACGGGUGAGUAACACGUGGGUGACCUGCCCUCAGCUCUGGGAUAAGCCUGGGAAACGUGGGUCUAAUACCGGAUAUGACCUUUCCUCGCAUGGGGUUUGGUGGAAAGUCCGUGGGCGUUGAUUGUCGUGGGUUUCGGCUGGGGAGUCGGGCCCGCGGCCUAUCAGCUUGUUGGGUGGGGUGAUGGCCUACCGAAGGCGACGACGGGUAGCCGGCCUGAGAGGGCGACCGGCCACGACUGGGACUGAGACACGGCCCAGACGUCCUACGGGAGGCAGCAGUGGGGAAUAUUGCGCAAUGGGCGGAAGCCUGACGCAGCGACGCCGC